rnacentral:rRNA from 1 species
UGUGUUGGACCGUGUACAAGUCUCCUGGAAGGGAGCGUCAUAGAGGGUGAGAGUCCCGUCUUUGACACGGACUACCAGUGCUAUGUGAUGCGCUCUCGACGAGUCGAGUUGUUUGGGAAUGCAGCUCAAAACGGGUGGUAAACUCCAUCUAAAGCUAAAUACAGGCGAGAGACCGAUAGCGAACAAGUACCGUGAGGGAAAGAUGAAAAGAACUUUGGAAAGAGAGUUAAACAGUACGUGAAAUUGCUGAAAGGGAAACGCUUGAUGUCAGUCGCGUUGGCCGGGGAUCAACCUUUGCAUUUCUCGCUGGGUGUACUUCCCGGUCGACGGGUCAGCAUCAGUUUGGGUCGCCAUACAAGGGCGAGGGGAAUGUGGCACCCUUCUGGGGUGUGUUAUAGCCUUUCGUCGGAUGUGGUGGUCGAGACUGAGGAACUCAGCACGGCUUCGGUAGUGUGCUUUUAGGAUGCUGGCAUAAUGGCCUUAAGCGACCCGUCUUGAAACACGGACCAAGGAGUCUAACAUGCCUGCGAGUGUUUGGGUGGCAAACCCGAGCGCGCAAUGAAAGUGAACGUUGAGACCUCUGUCGUGGAGGGCACCGACGCCCGGACCUGAGUCUUUGACGACGGAUCUGCGGUAGAGCAUGCAUGUUGGGACCCGAAAGAUGGUGAACUAUGCCU